GGGGCCCAGGCUGGGAUCUGGCCGGCGAAGCGCAAACCCCAUGUGUGUGGUGAGGGAAGAGUUCAUCCUAUCUUUCUGGAUAAUCCCUGGGCUACAAAAGGGAAUAAACCCUGGGUGUGGAGCUCCCUGAGGCUACAACUGUGCCAGGCUCGGGCGUGGGGUGAGGGCGGGACCCUCCAGAGGCCUGGGCAAAGGAGCUCUGAUGGGUGACUGGUCAGACAGGGCUCACAGAGGAGGGAUGAGACUUCUCUCUGGUCCUCUAAGGGGCUGUUGUGUUGAGUGUGCUGGGACCUGUUGCCCCCGCUUCCUCUACCUCCUUUCCCAGCGUGCUGAAAACCCUGCUUAAGGCCUGGUGGCAUAAUGUACUAAUUAAGAGGGUAAUUACCAGGCGGGAUUCUUAUUUGCAGGCUCCACUUUAGGUCCUGCCUCAGGCCCUAGCAGAGUUAAGAGUAAGAAUGUGUACUGCCAUGGCUGCCCCAUGGCCUGAAGCCCAGUUCUGUCCUGGGGGGGGGGACAGGUGUGCACUACAUGCCUGUCCUCCCAGCACUUAGACAGUGGAAGGCAGAAGGAUCACUUCUGAAGUCUAGCCUGAGCUAUAGUAAAAUCCUGUCUCAAAACAACACAGGCAGAAAGAAAACAAAAACCCCACAAGCUCACCCCGGACCUUUCGGGUCAACGUGGGUUACAUCUUUUGCAUGGUGACCUUUAACUCCAGCACUUAGCAGGUCCACAUCUGUAAAUUCCCAGUCAGCCCCAGCUCAAAACACAAAAUAAAACUCAAAGAACCCCAGAUUCAAAUCUCAUGCUAAGAUGAGGUGAUUGGCCUGUCUUUCAAGCUGAGGCAGUGUAAUUGCCCUAAGUUCUUUGUCAGCUAGGGUACAGGGUGUCCUAACAAUUGAAAUCAAUACACAUCCUUCGAAGUAAGGCACAAUGGCAUAUAUCAGUCAUCCAGGAGCGUGAGGUAGGAUUGCAGGGGAGUUCAAGAGAUCAGUCUGGGCUACAGAGUGAGAAUCUGUCUCAAAACAUCCCAAUCCAGGGCCAUGGGGUUGGCUCAGAGAGUAAAGGUGCCUGCACUCAAGCCGGACAGCCUUAGUGCCACACCAGGGAGAACGGACUCCCAGAUAUUUUUGACCUUCCCAGACACAAACGUGCAUGCCCAUGGAACACACGCACGUGCUCGCUCUCUCUCUCUCUCUCUCUCUCUCUCUCUCUCUCUCUCUCACACACACACACACAC
rnacentral:lncRNA from 1 species